UUUUAACAUUUUCAUCAACCAAAAACCUAGGUACACUAAACGGAACCAACGUCGAAGAAUUACUGAAUGAAACAGUAGGUUUUAAUCUAGCAAUGUUAUGAACAACAGUUGCUAACAAUAAUGCAUAGCUUUGGGAAGCAUGAGUACGCUCAUUUUGGCACAAACUCCACAAAUGUGAUCCAAUUUCCGAAAGUAAACAAGGAAAAGCAGUUUCUAAUUCACGUAAACACUCGCAAGCAAUUGAUCGAGUUUGCCGGUCAACGCUAUGAUUCGGCCGGUUAAUAAUAGUUAACAAAAGCUCAAUUAAACUUUCAAGAGGAGUAACAAAGCUAGAAUCGAGACAACUCGAUGUAUAACCCACGUAAUUAACGAAAAUUGAAGUUGAGGAGAUGAGAAACUGUUCCUUGAGAGCGAACGACGUUGAAACGCCGUCGUUUGGUGAUUGGAUUACUGACCGGAGGGCUUCGAGGAGACGGCUGAGGAAAUUAGGUGAAACGAUGUCGUUCUCGUCUGUGCUGAAGUGUUCUUCGAUGAAGAUGAGGAGCUGGAGUUUGAGAUUGUGAGGGAUAUCUUUCCGGAGAAGUGAUGAAAGUGUGAGGUCAAGAAGAGGAACGGCGGCGUAGUUGAUGGAA
rnacentral:misc_RNA from 1 species